rnacentral:tRNA from 1 species
GGGGCAUUAGCUCAGCUGGGAGAGCGCUACAUUCGCAUUGUAGAGGUCGGCGGUUCGAAUCCGCUAUGCUCCA